rnacentral:misc_RNA from 1 species
GAUGAAGAACGUAGCGAAAUGUGAUAAGUAAUGCGAAUUGCAGAAUUCAGUGAAUCAUCGAAUCUUUGAACGCACAUUGCGCCCGCCAGUAUUCUGGCGGGCAUGCCUGUUCGAGCGUCAUUUCAACCAUCAAGCCCCAGGCUUGUGUUGGGGACCUGCGGCUGCCGCAGGCCCUGAAAACCAGUGGCGGGCUCGCUAGUCACACCGAGCGUAGUAGCAUACACAUCGCUCAGGGCGUGCUGCGGGUUCCGGCCGUUAAACCCCUUUUUUACCCAAGGUUGACCUCGGAUCAGGUAGGAAGACCCGCUGAACUUAAGCAUAUCAAUAAGCGGAGGA